rnacentral:miRNA from 1 species
CCAGUGGAGCUGCUGUUAUCUU